CCUACGGGAGGCAGCAGUGGGGAAUAUUGGACAAUGGGGGUAAGCCUGAACCAGCGACGCCGCGUGAGGGAAGAAGUAUUUCGGUAUGUAAAGCUCUAUCAGCAGGGAAGAAAAUGACGGUACGUGACUAAGAAGCUCCGGCUAACUACGUGCCAGCAGCCGCGGUAAUACGUAGGGGGCAAGCGUUAUCCGGAUUUACUGGGUGUAAAGGGGGAGUAGAGGGUGCAGCAAGUCUGAUGUGAAAGGUCGGGGCCCCACCCCGGGACGGCAUUUGAAACUGUUGAACUGGAGUACAGGAGAGGUAAGCGGAAUUCCUAGUGUAGCGGUGAAAUGCGUAGAUAUUAGGAGGAACACCAGUGGCGAAGGCGGCUUACUGGACUGUAACUGACGUUGAGGCUCGAAAGCGUGGGGAGCAAACAGGAUUAGAUACCCCAGUAGUC
rnacentral:rRNA from 1 species